UUGUCCCUAAUUUUCAAUAUGUGGCAAUCAUUACAUGGCAAACACUGCUGGUUGAUACCCUAGAUCUGCUUUUUUUCCUUCUCUUUAGAUGAUACAGUCAUUUCUCUUGAACUCAAAGAGAUCAUCAGUGAGAUGGAAGUAGCAGUUCGUGGGCAGAGCUUGCAGAGAAGCUGUACUCCAGAAGGACAGAUCCUGCUCCUUGACCUUCUCCAGCAGGAUGGGUGGGUCUGCAUGGACACACAAGGCAGACACUCUGCUGGCAUGGUAGAUGGUUCCAAGUGAAGAACAGCUGACUUCAUGGGACUCUGUGAGAACAACCAAGCCUGUGAGACCGGGUCUGAAGCGAGCGACGCCCUCUCAGGUAGGCGGUGUUUUGAAACUCCGUAAGUGGCACAUGGCAACUGUAACCACACAUUAGUCUGUUAACUGUCUCCUCAGUGGUUUACCUCCUGUCUUGUUGGGCUACACUGCAAAGUUCCAAGACCCUGAACUUCCCACUGGGUACUUUUGUUUCAGCACUUGUGUGGUAACCCAAUCAGUGCAAUCUUUCAUGAACACCCACAUGUACAGUAAUUAGUUCCACAGAUUGUGGGACAAAGCUGCCACACAUAAUUUUAAUGAAUGGAAAUUACUUUAUGGCAUCUGAUGUUAAGUGAGUUGGGCAUAGACAACCUGAGUUUGAAAAAAAAUCAUUGAUUCUAUUUCUUUUCCUACAUGGCUGUGUCAAACAUUGUGUUCCCAUGGUUCUAGGCAUGUCCCCACCCCAACACAUGUCCAGGAUCCAUCCUAUGCUUUAACUUUUGGAAGCUACUGAGAAUUCUCUUUGUUUUGCCCAGUGAAAAGUCCUCCCUUCUCCCUUGGGUCUUCCUUCUAGAACUUUAAUUCCCACCUUUAAAAACCAC
rnacentral:lncRNA from 1 species